rnacentral:lncRNA from 1 species
CUUGGUCCUGCAGCCGUUUGCGGCCCACCCUGUAAAAAUGGCGGCCAGUGCAUGAGGAACAACGUGUGCUUGUGUCUGCAGGGUUACACUGGGAGACGCUGUGAGAAAAGCGUGUGUAAGCUUGUGUGUUUGAACAACGGAAGAUGCGUCGGUCCAGACGUCUGCGACUGUCCGUCCGGUUGGCAAGGAGACCGAUGCGAGAAACCCAGCUGUUUGCAGAAAUGUCUAAACGGAGGCGAGUGUGUCAGUCCAAAUACCUGCCACUGCUCUCCAGGAUGGCAGGGAGCACAGUGUCAGAUCCGUAAGUACAAAGGCCCCCCCUAGACAGUAAACAGUAAUAGGAAAUAGCAAAACACUCCGUUCCAAUAUGUUCUCGGUUGGUUUACACUUUUACUAAUUCGCUAAUGAAAUCAGAAACUUUCACUGCACUACAUUUCCCAUGAGGCUCUGCGGUACUUCUAACUUUGAUUUAACAGCUGAUAAUGUUGGAUCGUGGUUGAUUUAUAAAGCUUGAAUAAAGUAUGUGUAUGAAGAUCUAUAAUGUUCGUCACUUUAAUUAAACGGCUUUCUUUACUUCUAAAUGAAGAUUUUCGGGUGGGUCGGACCUAUUUUCAGUGAGUUGCAGGAAUAUGCAAGGUUGAAAGGUGAAUAAUAUCUUAUUCUUUUAUUUUGAAGGGAAUUUAGUUUUCUUAAGAGAAUUUUUUAGUGUCUAACUACUAAUAUUUGUUUUCUCUACGUGGAAUUUUAAAAGAAUACAUUUUCUCAGCACAAAUCUACAAAAUGGAUAUAAUCAAUAUGUGAUUACCAGUUUACAUUAACAGUUUGUCAAAAAUUAAAAGAUUUCCAGGAUUUUGGUCACAGCUUGUUUCAGUUAUGUUUUUUUUAAUUUGAUCUUCUUGUCCGUUUUCAUUUUGAAUUAUAAAGUGUCUUUGACUGUUUUAAAAAGCUCUAUAUAAAUGAAACAUUAAUAUUGGAUGAACUUUUAACAUGUUAGUACAGAAAAUAACUGCUACUGUGACUCCUCAGCUCAGUGUGAACAGCAGUGUGUGGGCGGCAGUCGCUGCAUACGGCCAAACGUCUGCGCCUGCAGGAGAGGAAGCGCAGGCUCUGUGUGCAGCGGCAGGCUUCCGAUUGCAAGAGGAUGAUGACGACGAUGAUGAGACGAAGGAAAGCGUUAGCGGAUCCAAAAGAGGUGCCAAAAGACAUCCUGAGAUUUUACCAACCACAGACCUCAAACCUCUUUGUUUAUUUAUUUGUUUCUUAUCAGUACACACUGUUUGCCCUGCUGUAUAUAAUCAGUCACUGUAAUCAGAUAGUCUCAUUCAUGUCAUUUUUUUGUUUUUAUAAGAAAAUAAAGAACGAUUAGAGAACA